rnacentral:rRNA from 1 species
CCGUGCAAAGGUAGCAUAAUCAUUAGUUUUUUAAUUGAAAACUUGUAUGAAUGGUUAGACAAAAGAAACUCUGUCUCGUUUGUUAGACUUGAAUUUAACUUUUAAGUGAAAAGGCUUGAAUCUUUUAAGGGGACGAUAAGACCCUAUAAAGCUUUAUAAUGAAAUAUUAUUUUUUGAAAUAAUUUAUAAAAUAAAAUAAUAAUAACCUUAUUAUGUUGGGGUGACACUGAUAAAAAUAUAUUUAACUGUUAGAAUAAAGAUACAUAAAUUUAUGAAUAAAUAUUAAUGAUCCUUAUUAAAGAUUAAAAGACUAAGUUACUUUAGGGAUAACAGCGUUAUUUCUUUUGAGAGUUCUUAUCGAAAAAGAAGUUUGCGACCUCGAUGUUGAAUUAAAGAAUCUUUAUAGUGCAGCCGCUUUAAAAAG